rnacentral:rRNA from 1 species
UACAGAGGUCUCAAGCGUUGUUCGGAUUCAUUGGGCGUAAAGGGUGCGUAGGUGGCGCCGUAAGUCAGGUGUGAAAUUUCGGAGCUUAACUCCGAAACUGCAUUUGAUACUGCGGUGCUUGAGGACUGGAGAGGAGACUGGAAUUUACGGUGUAGCAGUGAAAUGCGUAGAGAUCGUAAGGAAGACCAGUGGCGAAGGCGGGUCUCUGGACAGUUCCUGGACAGCUGAG